GUCUUUUUGUAAUUAUAAAAAGUCCGGUCUGCCCACUGAUGAAUGUAUUAAAGGGCCGCAGUAUUUUAACUGUGCAAAGGUAGCAUAAUCAUUAGUUCUUUAAUUGAGAUCUUGAAUGAAUGAUUAGACAAAAAAAUUACUGUCUUUAUAAUAAUAAUUGAAUUUAACUUUUGAGUGAAAAGGCUUAAAUAAUUUAAAGUGACGAUAAGACCCUAUAAAGCUUAAUAUUAUUAUAAAAUUUCUGGUAAUUUAAAUAUAAAGGUUUAAAGUUUAUUGAUAUUUUAUUGGGGCGAUAGAAGUAAAAAGUUUAAUAACUGCUUUUUUUUUUAAUCAAAUAUAAAUGGUUAAUACAUAAGUGAUCUUAUUUUAUAGAGCAAAAGAUUAAGUUACUUUAGGGAUAACAGCGUUAUUUUUCUUGAGAGUUCUUAUCGAAAGAAAAGAUUGCGACCUCGAUGUUGAAUUAAAAUAUCUAUAUAAUUGUAGUAGUUAUAUGAGAAGGUCUGUUCGACCUUUAAAUUUUUACAUGAUUUGAGUUCAGACCGGUUUAAACCAGGUCGGUUUCUAUCUUUUAAUUAAAUUAUAAUUAUUUUA
rnacentral:rRNA from 1 species